rnacentral:rRNA from 1 species
GAUGAACGCUGGCGGCGUGCUUAACACAUGCAAGUCGAACGGGAAACCUUUUAUGGCAGCUUCGGCAGAUUUAGCUGGUUUCUAGUGGCGGACGGGUGAGUAACGCGGGGGUAACCUGCCUUAUACAGGGGGAUAACAGUCAGAAAUGGCUGCUAAUACCGCAUAAGCGCACAGAGCUGCAUGGCUCAGUGUGAAAAACUCCGGUGGUAUAAGAUGGACCCGCGUUGGAUUAGCUGGUUGGUGGGGUAACGGCCCACCAAGGCGACGAUCCAUAGCCGGCCUGAGAGGGUGAACGGCCACAUUGGGACUGAGACACGGCCCAGACUCCUACGGGAGGCAGCAGUGGGGAAUAUUGCACAAUGGGGGAAACCCUGAUGCAGCGACGCCGCGUGAAGGAAGAAGUAUCUCGGUAUGUAAACUUCUAUCAGCAGGGAAGAUAAUGACGGUACCUGACUAAGAAGCCCCGGCUAACUACGUG